rnacentral:rRNA from 1 species
CCUACGGGGGGCUGCAGUGGGGAAUAUUGGACAAUGGGGGCAACCCUGAUCCAGCCAUGCCGCGUGUGUGAAGAAGGCCCUCGGGUUGUAAAGCACUUUCAGUGAGGAAGAACGCCUGGUGGUUAAUACCCAUCAGGAAAGACAUCACUCACAGAAGAAGCACCGGCUAACUCCGUGCCAGCAGCCGCGGUAAUACGGAGGGUGCGAGCGUUAAUCGGAAUUACUGGGCGUAAAGCGCGCGUAGGUGGCUUGAUAAGCCGGUUGUGAAAGCCCCGGGCUCAACCUGGGAACGGCAUCCGGAACUGUCAAGCUAGAGUGCAGGAGAGGAAGGUAGAAUCCCCGGUGUAGCGGUGAAAUGCGUAGAGAUCGGGAGGAAUACCAGUGGCGAAGGCGGCCUUCUGGACUGACACUGACACUGAGGUGCGAAAGCGUGGGUAGCAAACAGGAUUAGAUACCCCUGUAGUC